UAGAUUUCGUGGUGGCUUAUUUUUCGUGGAAUUCGUGGGUACCUCUCAUCCACGAAAUAACAUCCUUCACGAAUUGAUGAAUUAGGGUAAUAAAGUAAUAUUCCCUUUUGUAGAUAUAUAUGAAUACACGAAAUUACGUCCCAACGAACCUGUAAAAUUUAAGUCAUCCACGAAAAUUGUCCCCCACGAAAUUUAAUGAUUCCACAGUAACUGUGCUUCGGUUGGUGGGUGGUUGGUAGCCAUUGAGUCCAAGUCAGAAAAUAUGUUCAUAAAGUCAAGAUUAUAUCAUGAGUUUGCAAGCCUUUAUUUUUGGCUGGGUGCUACCGACCAAUUUCGUUCUGACAAGAAAUGGUACUGGGUUCAAACGGAACAAAACAUUAAAACUGGAUACAGUGAUUGGUGUCGUACACAACCCAACAAUCUGGGAAAACAGCAUUGUCUAGCGAUGAGGAAGGAUUUACAUUACCAAUGGUCUAAUGAUUACUGCAAACAAAU